AGGGGGAGAGAGAGUGGAAAUGAUUCUCUUGGGAAAUGUAUUCUCAUGCCAUAUUUUAUACUAUUAUCUUUGCCAAUGCAAUAUGGUGAUUAUAAGUUUAAGAACAAGAUUUGUAUAAAAUAGAGUGACUGAAGGAUGUGCCAACCUGUCAUAUUUUGCUAGGAUUUGAAUCAGAAUUUGUAAGUAUUGCUGAAAAAUUUCUCCCUAUACUUACCUUUUGCUUUGAUUGCAUAUCACCAGCAAAUUGUGCCACCUGUGCUU
rnacentral:misc_RNA from 1 species